AUGUGCCACCCGCACAUUUCGUUUCCUUCGCGCCGUCCGCACCCACCCGACGACUGCUCGCUACAUAGUGUUAGCA
rnacentral:sRNA from 12 species